UACGGAGGGUGCAAGCGUUGUCCGGAAUCACUGGGCGUAAAGGGCGCGUAGGCGGCUCAUGAAGGCUGUGGUGAAAGUCCGGGGCUCAACCUCGGAUCGGCCGUGGCGACUCGUGGGCUGGAGCACUGUAGAGGCGGGUGGAAUUCCGGGUGUAGCGGUGGAAUGCGUAGAGAUCCGGAAGAACACCGGUGGCGAAGGCGGUCUGCUGGGCAGU
rnacentral:rRNA from 1 species